rnacentral:tRNA from 1 species
AAUUUUAGAAAUAUAAAAUAAAUUAAGCUUCUAACUUAAUAUAAGUGGUUAAACUCCAUUAAUAUUUC